GCGGCAUUAUGCCGGAAAAAGGGGCGAAGGGGGUGGCUCCAUGGCUGAGAUUUGCAAUUUAUUCAAAGAGAAAAUAAAAUGGAGUAUGGAAUAGAUCAGUUGAAAACUGUUUGUUUUUUGCUGGUGAAGCUGCAAGGAGCAUCCAGAUACAAUAGGUGGUGCAAUGUUGAGUGGGCUGCGAGAGGCAGUUCGUAUAAUUAACAUAUCCACUGGUAAUGAUUACGCAGCAGAAGCAAAAUCUGUUGAAGCUGCACAGAGACAAUCAAACAGAUAGAGGAAUGAAGUAAAGGACAUUACAAGAAGGCUUGAUGCAAUUACCAUUAUCCGCUAUAAUAGUUCAUUUCAUAGAUCCCAGUUUUUUGCUACAGAAAGUUUACUACAGGAUAUGUUGUUUAGUGUCAAAAUGUCAGCUAGAAGAUUGCGUCUGGCUAAAGAGAUAUUAAGCCUUCCUUUUGAAUCUCUAAAGUCUGUUGCUGGGACUAAAGAAGGGAUUAGUAUACUCAACUCGUGGAUAUUGGAUUCCAUGGGAAAGAAUGGAACUCAACUCAUGCGUCUUUGUGUCCAUAUACUUGUUCUGGUCUCAGCUGUCCGGCUGUCAGGUAUACACAAGUCCCCCCCCCCCCCCCCCCCCCCCUACUAGCUAGGUGUUCUUUGAUCCGUGUUAUUCAGGUGAGCAAGGAUUAGUUGACGAAGCACAGAAAGCAUUAGAGGAAACUUUUGUUUAUUUCUACGACUGUAGUGUAAAUUAGAAAAAAUAUAAUCAAUAUUAUUGUUAGAUUAUACUAAAUAUGUGUAUUGUUGUAUUAUAUAAUAAUCUAAUAUUUACAUAUAUAAAGGAGGCAUAUUUGCUGAAAGAUUAGAGCGCCACCUAGGAUUACUAAUGGUUUCGGCCAAUGAAAAAUAAGAUUUCUAAUUUCUUUUUGAAUUAAAAAAAUCAAGU